rnacentral:rRNA from 1 species
CCUACGGGAGGCAGCAGUGGGGAAUAUUGGACAAUGGGCGAAAGCCUGAUCCAGCCAUGCCGCGUGUGUGAAGAAGGUCUUCGGAUUGUAAAGCACUUUAAGUUGGGAGGAAGGGCAGUAAGAUAAUACCUUGCUGUUUUGACGUUACCGACAGAAUAAGCACCGGCUAACUCUGUGCCAGCAGCCGCGGUAAU